rnacentral:rRNA from 1 species
ACGGUUGACCUCGGAUCAGGUAGGAAUACCCGCUGAACUUAAGCAUAUCAAUAAGCGGAGGAAAAGAAACCAACAGGGAUUGCCUUAGUAACGGCGAGUGAAGCGGCAACAG